rnacentral:rRNA from 1 species
GACGAACGCUGGCGGCGUGCUUAACACAUGCAAGUCGAACGGAAAGGCUCCAGCUUGCUGGAGUACUCGAGUGGCGAACGGGUGAGUAACACGUGGGUAAUCUGCCCUGCACUCUGGGAUAAGCCUGGGAAACUGGGCCUAAUACUGGAUAUGACCUUUCUCCUUAUGGGGUUUGGUGGAAAGUUUUUCGGUGUAGGAUGAGCCCGCGGCCUAUCAGCUUGUUGGUGGGGUGAUGGCCUACCAAGGCGACGACGGGUAGCCGGCCUGAGAGGGUGAUCGGCCACAUUGGGACUGAGAUACGGCCCAGACUCCUACGGGAGGCAGCAGUGGGGAAUAUUGCACAAUGGGCGGAAGCCUGAUGCAGCGACGCCGCGUGAGGGAUGACGGCCUUCGGGUUGUAAACCUCUUUCAGCAGGGACGAAGCGUAAGUGACGGUACCUGCAGAAGAAGCACCGGCUAACUACGUG